CAGGGGAUAUGGGGAGAAGGCAGGAACGGGAGGAAAUCCACAUCAGGCAGGUAAUGGUGUUGGGUAGACUGAUGGGACUGAAGGCUGAUAAAUCCCCAGGGCCUGAUGGUCUGCAUCUCAGGGUACUUAAGGAAGUGGCUCCAGAAAU